GGGGGUGCUGCUCAGUGCUAGAGUACUUGCCUAACAUGCAUGAGGUUCUUGAGUUUAAUUCCUAGCACCCCCC
rnacentral:tRNA from 1 species